rnacentral:misc_RNA from 1 species
UGUAGGAGUGAGCCUGCUCGCGAUAGCGGUAUGUCUGGUUCCUGGCCGGUGACUGACACACCGCUAUCGCGAGCAGGCUCACUCCUACA